rnacentral:tRNA from 14 species
GGGCGAUUGGUUUAGUGGUAUAACGUCUGUUUUGCAUACAGAAGGUCGGGAUUUCGAUUAUCCCAUCGUCCA